AACUGAUACUACCUGCGGGAACCUGCGGAGGGAUCAUUACUGAGUGAGGGCCCCUCGGGGUCCAACCUCCCACCCGUGUUUAACGAACCUUUGUUGCUUCGGCGGGCCCGCCUCACGGCCGCCGGGGGGCUCCUGCCCCCGGGCCCGCGCCCGCCGAAGCCCCCCCUUGAACGCUGUCUGAAGUUUGCAGUCUGAGAAACUAGCUAAAUUAGUUAAAACUUUUAGCAACGGAUCUCUAGA
rnacentral:misc_RNA from 1 species